AUUGAACGCUGGCGGCAUGCCUUACACAUGCAAGUCGAACGGCAGCACGGGUGCUUGCACCUGGUGGCGAGUGGCGAACGGGUGAGUAAUACAUCGGAACGUACCUUAUCGUGGGGGAUAACGCAGCGAAAGCUGUGCUAAUACCGCAUACGCCCUGAGGGGGAAAGUGGGGGAUCGCAAGACUUCGCGCGAUUAGAGCGGCCGAUGCCUGAGUAGCUAGUUGGUGGGGUAAAAGCCCACCAAGGCGACGAUCAGUAGCUGGUCUGAGAGGACGAUCAGCCACACUGGGACUGAGACACGGCCCAGACUCCUACGGGAGGCAGCAGUGGGGAAUUUUGGACAAUGGGGGCAACCCUGAUCCAGCAAUGCCGCGUGAGUGAAGAAGGCCUUCGGGUUGUAAAGCUCUUUUGUCAGGGAAGAAACACCGGCUCUAACACAGUCCGGGAAUGACGGUACCUGAAGAAUAAGCACCGGCUAACUACGUGCCAGCCGCCGCCGUAA
rnacentral:rRNA from 1 species